GGAGAAGGGCCAUAGCUCAGUGGUAAAGUAUCUGCCUUGCAAGCAGAAGGUCCCAGGUUCAAUUCCCAGCAUCUCCA
rnacentral:tRNA from 1 species